CGGCCNUANCAUGCAGUAGAACGCUGAAGAGAGGAGCUUGCUCUUCUUGGAUGAGUUGCGAACGGGUGAGUAACGCGUAGGUAACCUGCCUUGUAGCGGGGGAUAACUAUUGGAAACGAUAGCUAAUACCGCAUAACAAUGGAUGACACAUGUCAUUUAUUUGAAAGGGGCAAUUGCUCCACUACAAGAUGGACCUGCGUUGUAUUAGCUAGUAGGUGAGGUAAUGGCUCACCUAGGCGACGAUACAUAGCCGACCUGAGAGGGUGAUCGGCCACACUGGGACUGAGACACGGCCCAGACUCCUACGGGAGGCAGCAGUAGGGAAUCUUCGGCAAUGGGGGCAACCCUGACCGAGCAACGCCGCGUGAGUGAAGAAGGUUUUCGGAUCGUAAAGCUCUGUUGUAAGUCAAGAACGGGUGUGAGAGUGGAAAGUUCACACUGUGACGGUAGCUUACCAGAAAAGGGACCGGCUAAACUACNGUGCCANGCAGNCCGCGGUAAUACNGUAGGUCCCGAGCGUUGUCCGGAUUUAUUGGGCGUAAAGCGAGCGCAGGCGGUUUUGAUAAGUCUGAAGUUAAAGGCUGUGGCUCAACCAUAGUUCGCUUUGGAAACUGUCAAACUUGAGUGCAGAAGGGGAGAGUGGAAUUCCAUGUGUAGCGGUGAAAUGCGUAGAUAUAUGGAGGAACACCGGUGGCGAAAGCGGCUCUCUGGUCUGUAACUGACGCUGAGGCUCGAAAGCGUGGGGAGCGAACAGGAUUAGAUACCCUGGUAGUCCACGCCGUAAACGAUGAGUGCUAGGUGUUGGAUCCUUUCCGGGAUUCAGUGCCGAAGCUAACGCAUUAAGCACUCCGCCUGGGGAGUACGACCGCAAGGUUGAAACUCAAAGGAAUUGACGGGGGCCCGCACAAGCGGUGGAGCAUGUGGUUUAAUUCGAAGCACCCCGAAAAACCUUACCAGGUCUUGACAUCCCGAUGCUAUUUCUAG
rnacentral:rRNA from 1 species